GCCCGGAUGGUGGAAUAGGUAGACACAAGGGACUUAAAAUCCCUCGGCCUUGCGGCUAUGCCGGUUCGACCCCGGCUCCGGGCA
rnacentral:tRNA from 2 species